UGGGGAAUAUUGCACAAUGGGCGAAAGCCUGAUGCAGCGACGCCGCGUGAGGGAUGACGGCCUUCGGGUUGUAAACCUCUUUCAGCAGGGACGAAGCGCAAGUGACGGUACCUGCAGAAGAAGCACCGGCUAACUACGUGCCAGCAGCCGCGGUAAUACGUAGGGUGCAAGCGUUGUCCGGAAUUACUGGGCGUAAAGAGUUCGUAGGCGGUUUGUCGCGUCGUUUGUGAAAACCAGCAGCUCAACUGCUGGCCUGCAGGCGAUACGGGCAGACUUGAGUACUGCAGGGGAGACUGGAAUUCCUGGUGUAGCGGUGAAAUGCGCAGAUAUCAGGAGGAACACCGGUGGCGAAGGCGGGUCUCUGGGCAGUAACUGACGCUGAGGAACGAAAGCGUGGGUAGCGAACAGGAUUAGAUACCCUGGUAGUCCACGCCGUAAACGGUGGGCGCUAGGUGUGGGUUCCUUCCACGGAAUCCGUGCCGUAGCUAACGCAUUAAGCGCCCCGCCUGGGGAGUACGGCCGCAAGGCUAAAACUUAAAUGAAUUGACGGGGUCAUAGCUGUUU
rnacentral:rRNA from 1 species